GGUCGAGUCUUCAACAUGAAUGCACAAGAAGCACAAGCAGACAACGAGGUGGUGAACGGAGCUGUUCCAUAAGAUGUUGAUCACGAUACUAGGGCGGACCUGUGCCUUAGACACUAAAAAUGAAGAUAGAACUAGUAUAACUAUGUUUUGAAUUCUGUACUUCCUUUUAAGACAAUGUAACACCCGUGUUUGAUAAAUAAAAUGUAACUU
rnacentral:lncRNA from 1 species